GCCCUGAUGCUCCCCCAACCCCUGGCAUUACUUUCUGAGUAUCUAACAGGGUUUCACAUUAGGGAAAACCCUCGGAGGUGAUUCUAUAAAUUGAAAGAUUUUUCUAAUUUUCAAAGUUGGAUUUACAUCACUAAUCUGAGACAGAAUUUCACAGCUAAUUAUGUAAUGCAGUCUAAUUUUGGAAUGCAGUCUAAUUUAACCAGUUGAAUCCAAAGGGUAGAGGAGAGAUGCUUAAAAAGUCCUGGCAACCUCUCAGGGUUAUUGGUGCAGCUCUCUGAGGGAAAAAAGUUGUUUUGUUUUCUUCUUCUUCUUUUUUUUUUUUUUUUUGCUUUUAUUGAUUUUGGUUUUUUGAAUUCAAGUGCCUCCUUGUUUACCUGUCACUUUAAAAAAAUACUUUUAAAGUAUAAGCUUCAAGAAUUUUUGAGUUCUAGAGUUUUGCCUGGCUGUUGAGAUUUGGUGCAAAUUCUCAUGUGUGUUUAUAUAGGAAGGUGAGUUGACCAUCCACUGAGGAGGGUAGAACUAAUUAACAUGAUCUGUGGUCUUUACAAAAGAGAAUCCAGCUACCUGGCCUGUGGGUGUGUGUAUUUGUGAAAACUUAAAUUUCCUGAAGCAUCUAUUUCCACAUUAAUAUGGAUGAAAAGUAAAAUUUCCUUUGGACUAAAUUGGAAGCUUUCUCUUCUGUAUCUGCAUAGGCUUGAACUAUUCCUUGGCAGUGCCUAGAGAUACGGGGUUCCUUCUUGGUACCGGUCACUCACCUCCUUAUGUGACACAGAUGAGAUUUCUUCUCAGUGCAUAUGUAUUAGAACUUGAUGGAAUAAAAGCUUUGAGUUUGAGAAAUAAAGGUAUAUUUAAAAGUGUAAAAA
rnacentral:lncRNA from 1 species